rnacentral:rRNA from 1 species
UACGUAGGGUCCGAGCGUUGUCCGGAAUUAUUGGGCGUAAAGAGCGCGCAGGCGGUCGUUCAAGUCGCGUGUGAAAGCCCCCGGCUCAACUGGGGAGGGUCACGCGAUACUGAUCGACUGGAAGGCAGGAGAGGGUAGUGGAAUUCCCGGUGUAGUGGUGAAAUGCGUAGAUAUCGGGAGGAACACCAGUGGCGAAGGCGACUACCUGGCCUGUUCUUGACGCUGAGGCGCGAAAGCUGGGGGAGCAAACGGG